rnacentral:rRNA from 1 species
GAUGAACGCUGGCGGCGUGCCUAAUACAUGCAAGUCGAGCGAACGGACGAGAAGCUUGCUUCUCUGAUGUUAGCGGCGGACGGGUGAGUAACACGUGGAUAACCUACCUAUAAGACUGGGAUAACUUCGGGAAACCGGAGCUAAUACCGGAUAAUAUUUUGAACCGCAUGGUUCAAAAGUGAAAGACGGUCUUGCUGUCACUUAUAGAUGGAUCCGCGCUGCAUUAGCUAGUUGGUAAGGUAACGGCUUACCAAGGCAACGAUGCAUAGCCGACCUGAGAGGGUGAUCGGCCACACUGGAACUGAGACACGGUCCAGACUCCUACGGGAGGCAGCAGUAGGGAAUCUUCCGCAAUGGGCGAAAGCCUGACGGAGCAACGCCGCGUGAGUGAUGAAGGUCUUCGGAUCGUAAAACUCUGUUAUUAGGGAAGAACAUAUGUGUAAGUAACUGUGCACAUCUUGACGGUACCUAAUCAGAAAGCCACGGCUAACUACGUGCCAGCAGCCGCGGUAAUACGUAGGUGGCAAGCGUUAUCCGGAAUUAUUGGGCGUAAAGCGCGCGUAGGCGGUUUUUUAAGUCUGAUGUGAAAGCCCACGGCUCAACCGUGGAGGGUCAUUGGAAACUGGAAAACUUGAGUGCAGAAGAGGAAAGUGGAAUUCCAUGUGUAGCGGUGAAAUGCGCAGAGAUAUGGAGGAACACCAGUGGCGAAGGCGACUUUCUGGUCUGUAACUGACGCUGAUGUGCGAAAGCGUGGGGAUCAAACAGGAUUAGAUACCCUGGUAGUCCACGCCGUAAACGAUGAGUGCUAAGUGUUAGGGGGUUUCCGCCCCUUAGUGCUGCAGCUAACGCAUUAAGCACUCCGCCUGGGGAGUACGACCGCAAGGUUGAAACUCAAAGGAAUUGACGGGGACCCGCACAAGCGGUGGAGCAUGUGGUUUAAUUUGAAGCAACGCGAAGAACCUUACCAAAUCUUGACAUCCUUUGACAACUCUAGAGAUAGAGCUUUCCCCUUCGGGGGACAAAGUGACAGGUGGUGCAUGGUUGUCGUCAGCUCGUGUCGUGAGAUGUUGGGUUAAGUCCCGCAACGAGCGCAACCCUUAAGCUUAGUUGCCAUCAUUAAGUUGGGCACUCUAAGUUGACUGCCGGUGACAAACCGGAGGAAGGUGGGGAUGACGUCAAAUCAUCAUGCCCCUUAUGAUUUGGGCUACACACGUGCUACAAUGGACAAUACAAAGGGCAGCGAAACCGUGAGGUCAAGCAAAUCCCAUAAAGUUGUUCUCAGUUCGGAUUGUAGUCUGCAACUCGACUACAUGAAGCUGGAAUCGCUAGUAAUCGUAGAUCAGCAUGCUACGGUGAAUACGUUCCCGGGUCU